AUACGUGACAAAGCUCCUGAAAAUAAGUCAGAUAUUUUCAGGAACUUUGUCACGUAUGA
rnacentral:pre_miRNA from 1 species